GCUGCGGGUUCGAGCCCCGUCAG
rnacentral:tRNA from 1 species